rnacentral:rRNA from 1 species
UACGUAGGGGGGCAAGCGUUGUCCGGAUUCAUUGGGCGUAAAGAGCGUGUAGGCGGCCAGGUAGGUCGGUUGUGAAAACUGGAGGCUCAACCUUCAGAGGUCGACCGAAACCAUCUGGCUAGAGUCCGGGAGAGGAGAGUGGAAUUCCUGGUGUAGCGGUGAAAUGCGCAGAUAUCGGGAAGAACACCCGUGGCGAAGGCGGCUCUCUGGGACGGUACUGACGCUGAGACGUGAAAGCGUGGGGAGCAAACAGG